GGAGGGGAGCGGGGCGUGCAGCCGCGGUUGCCACGGCGACCGGAGGAGGCGGCGGUCAGGUAGGCCGCGCCGCGCCGGUGUCGCUCUGUUGCCGUGCACCGAGCGGGCUCCGGUUCGGCUCCGGCGGUGCCGGCUGAGGUGGGGCUCUGUGCGGCCCGCUGUGCUGCCUGCUGGCUCCUCCUUCCAGCUGCAUCGCCGCUGAGCCUGGCGGUGCCGCUCAGCGAUGGGCGACGUGCUGGCUUACGAAGCUGAGCUGCUGGGACUGGUGAGAGAGUAUUUGGAUUUUGCUGAAUUCGAAGAAACAGUGAAGGUGUUUGCAAAGGAAUGCAAAAUAAAAGGGAAGCCACUACCUAAAACAGCAGGUGUUUCCUUGAGAGAUUCAAAAGCCAUUCCUGUUCAGAAAGAUCUGCUCAGAGCAUUUGACAAUGGUGAGCAGAAGGCUUUCUUCCAGCUCUGGGAGGAGCACGUUUCAUCUUCAGUCCGGGACAAUGAACCAAUUGCUCAGAAGCUGGAGUUCUAUCUUCACGUACACUUUGCCACCUACCUCUUAAAACACUCAGUGGGAAAGCCUGACAAAGCUGAACUGGAGGAAAGAGUUUCUCAUUUUAAAGCAUACUUGGAAACAAAGGGAGCUGCCCUGAGCCAGACUACAGAGUUUCUUCCCUUCUACGCUUUGCCUUUUGUUCCCAACCCCAUGGCGCAUCCUUCAUUUAAAGAACUUUUCCAGGAUUCUUGGACGUUGGAUUUAAGGACAAGAUUGGAAAAGUUCCUGUGUCUGAGUCUCAAAGCCAGCCAGACUCCCAGGCUUCUCACUUUAUUUAAGGAGAAUGGACAGUGCAAUAAAGAAACAUUGCAACAUCUCCAUCAACAGUUAGUGGAGUCAGAGCAUAGGACCAUGACCUACCUGAAGCGGUUUAACAAAAUGCAGGCAGACUACCAUAAUCUCAUUGGAGUCACUGCAGAGCUUGUGGAUUCCUUGGAGGCCACAGUCAAUGGCAAAAUGAUCACACCAGAAUACCUUCAAAGUGUUUGUGUUCGCCUGUUCAGCAAUCAGAUGAGACAAAGUGUAGCACAAAGUAUUGACUUUACAAGGCCUGGAACGGGACAUUACUCUAUGAGCCCUUGUGAUGACGGAUAUGCUUCCACAAUGUUAAGAGCAUCUUUGGCACCCGUGAAGAAGCAGGAUGUGCCCUUGUUGCCCUCUUUGGACUAUGAGAAGCUGAAGAAAGAUUUGCUUACAGGGAACGAUCGUCUCAAGGCCUUCUUACUGCAGGCUCUGCGCUGGCGCUUGACAACAUCAUAUCCUGGAGAACAGAGGGAUACUGUCCUGCAGGCUUACAUCAGUAACGACCUCUUAGAUUGCCACAGCAAGUGUCAGAGAAGUGUCCUUAAAUUAUUGCAGUCUAAGAGUGAGGUAGUCAGACAAUACAUGGCAAGGCUCAUCAAUGCUUUUGCUUCAUUGGCAGAAGGUCGUCUCUACCUUUCUCAGAACCCAAUGUUGCUGCAAAUGCUGGAGGAGAGACUGAAAGCUGAGGACAAGGAUUCGCUUACAUGGGAGAAUGUUCUGGGGGCUCUGCAGAAAUUCAGCCUCAGACGUGCCCUGCAGUCGGCAAUGAUCAAGGAUGGGCUCAUUUUCUGGCUGGCUGAUGUCCUGGCGGAUACAGAUAGCCUGUCUGAUUACACACUAGAAUAUUCGGUUGCCUUGUUCAUGAAUCUUUGUUUGAGGAGUGCAGGGAAGAAAAUGUGUGCGAGGAUUGCAGACCGCGUACUCAAAGUUCUCUCUGAUCUUCUUGGCCACGAGAAUCAUGAGAUACAACCGUAUGUGAAUGGAGCACUCUAUAGCAUUCUCGCUAUCCCUUCAGUCCGAGAAGAAGCCAGAGCAAUGGGAAUGGAAGAAAUUCUACGCUGCUUUCUCAAGGAAGGAAAUGCAGAGAUGGUCCGACAGAUUGAAUUUAUUAUCAAGCAGCUCUAUUCAGAAGAGCCAUUAAAUGACAAUAUUGUGUCUGAUGAUGACGAGGAAGAAGAGGACGAGGAGGAGGACCAUGACAUCAUGGAGGCUGACCUGGACAAAGAUGAGGUUUUACAGCCUCAACUGGGAGAGCUUACAGGAGAAAAGCUGUUGACAACUGAAUACUUGGGAAUAAUGACUCAUACUCCAAAAACCAAGAGGAAGCUGUUUCCUGGUGUCCAUCAGAGUAUAGAAGAGCCUCUCCAGAGACCUGUGACGCCAGGUUAUCACAGAACUGUAUACCCAACGCCAGAAAACGAUACCGUGUCUUGUCACGACAGGGAUGAAAAACCCCAGCCUCUGCUGAGUGGUUCUCCUCCUGUCUGUGCCAGGAGCAGCUCUGGCAUUGCCGACCUCUGCGCUUCCUCAUCGUCAAUUGAAACAAAGCCAUCUAAAAUAUUCUCAUCAGGCCAUAGGAUGGACCGAAGUGUCGAAGCUGGUGAUCUCUUGUCUUCCCAGUCUACCGACUUCACCCAAGACAGAGUGAAUGGGCAGUCUCACAGCGAGUUUUCUUCAGCCUUUACCAGCAAACCUAAGAUCCCUCGCACUCCUGAAACGCACAGUGCCAGCCCCAGAAAGGGAAAGAUCCCAACCAUUGCCCCCCAGUUCUCUCAGUCUGGACCCCAACAAAUGAGCCGUCCCAGCUCCUCGGGAUCAUCCACAAGGAGCAGACAGAGCAGCCAAUCCUACAGGAAGUGAGAACAGUUUCUUUCCUCGAGAAUCACCUGUCACACUGCUGAAGGACAGAGCCAGCUUCCUGUAAUGAGCUUCACUGGCGACCUACUGAGAGGAGGUUAUUAACACUGCACGGCGCACGCCUUGCACGGUGAUUCAGGGAUUAUCUGAUGGGCUGCAUCUGCUGUCAUCUCUAAAGCUGGCUAAGACAAGGGCCUUGUUACAAUUGGAGGUCUCAUCAGCUGCCCACAGCUGAUACAGUAGAUGGAUAUAGUCCCAGCGUCUCUGAUAGUUUAAUCUGACAUUGCUACCUCCAGAAAAGUCUCUUGCUCUCUGAUUUCUGUGUCAGACUAAAUGGCCUUUGAAAAUAGUGCGUAGGGCUCAGCACAGGAGUCUAGCCAACAAGCUGUCUUGUUUAGGUAUCUGCUUGCCUGUAACUUGCUCUGUUGUCUUUAUAAUUAUGCUUUUGUGUAUGAGUAUGGGGAUGUCUGGGUUCAAGGGAUCAGCACUAGGAGGGAAAGGCAUACCUGCAUGUGUGGAGCCUCACUGCCUGGAGCAGCUGUGUGGAGUGAGGUCUGCAUUUGAACAUCAAAGACUGGAAAGUAUUUCAUCAAUGUGUGGCAGCUGUAAAACUGUGUGCCAGUGUUCAACGCACCUCUCACUUCUGGGAAUCUGAUCAGCAGGUUUAUCUGUAGUAAUGACUCUUAUUCAAACGUACUUUACCUUGGAACUUGGCUUCCACUGAGGCUGUAAAGCACAGGAGGAAGCACGUGUGUUAGUUGUAAAUGGACUUAAAAAGCGAAUGCUUUUAGGUAGGUACGAGAAGGGAUAAGUUAAAGCUUUUGUGUUGGAGUUCCACCUUGAGAAACAAACAAGAUGAACUGAGCCCAAAAGGUCAAGCAACUCCAAUAGUGGGAAUUACCUCCCCCUUGACAGCAAAGAGUUGUAAAGCAAUGCCAGCAAUCAUGUCCGGAAGAAGGCUUUUCUGUGAUGAAACCUUGAAUUGUUCCUCUUGGUGUGUGGUGGCAACUGAAUAACCAAGGCCAUUUCCUCUCUUGAUGUGAUUGCCAUGAGACCAGCGAUGCUGUGUCACUGUCUGACAGAAAGGUAUCCAACACACGAGUUCCUCUCACCCCCUUCAAUAACAGACUUCAAAUUGGAGUUAGGGUCUCUUGAAGAAAAAGACAUCCUCCAGUCUGAAAUCUGACCACGUUGAUAUGAAACUCGGUAAGUCCACUGGGCUCACGCAAAGCAGGCAGAGUAUAGGUGUUGCUUGGCUGCAUAGGACAUAAAGUGAUUGUAGGCAGUUAAUUGUAGGCAGAUCUCCCUGGUAAAUAAAUCACAGAAAAGCUCUGAUAUGUGCUUACAUUGACCCACCUCCUCCCCCAAUUGAUAAACAUGAUUAAUGGAAAAAUGCCCUUUGGUUCCCCAAAAGGCAUCAGUAGAAAGCAGCCAUAAAAAUUCACCCAGUGGAUUUGCAUAGUAGGCAGCUAUGCUUUUUCUUCUGCAAGGCUGUCUUUUUUCUUGCAGCGUGUAAUAUCAGCGGCCCGGCUGUUAACACUGAAGUGCUAUGCAUGCUCAUCUGCAUCUGUAGGUGCACAGAGCAGCUGAGCUGAGUUUUAAUUCACAGCAGUGCUGAGUUUCACGUCGGAGACAAGCUGCGAGAAGUGUUGGUUCUGCCUUUGUUAGCAGGACACCUCUGCUGGGGGUUGAGAGGUCCCGGGAUGAAGGUCAGUGACACAUACACAGCAAAUUCUGCACCUCCCUCUUAAAGGUUGCUGUAUGGCAUGCAGAGGUUGCUGCCCCAUCCAGCAGCAGCCUGGUGAGUUCCUAACGGGAGCAGUGGAGAUUGCCUGCUUGAGUGAGAGGGGUGUGAUUGCACCUGAACUGCCUGCAGCGUUAUUUGCAAUAAGCAAAUGCACUAAUUGCACGGGGCAUAGAUCUGGGAUUUCUUUUCCUGUAACCAAAGUGCUGUAUGCCACUAGCAAGCUUUCUGCAUAUCUUCUCUAUCUUCGGUGUUAAUGAGACACUGAAUCAUAGGAUAUCCUGAGCUGGAAGGGACCCACAAGGAUAUUCAAGUUGAACUCCUGGCUCCACACAGAACCGCCCGAAAAUCCAACAUUCACUCUGGGAGCACUGUCCAAACGUGAACUGCAAUGGUGGAGGUUACAGCGCAGGGAGGAGAAGCAUUGCACUGCCUCCGUGCCCGUCUUUGAGUAGUAACAGGGAAGGCAAGCGAGCUGCCUUCCUCCCUGCUGUUCCUCCCCGCUGGAGUUCGUCUUUGAGCCAGCCCUUCCUGGCAGCGCAUCCAUCCUCACACUUGGUUGCAGUGUGGCUCAAUGCUGGACCGAGUCCCAGGAGGGGAAGUGCUGGAGAGCAGAGAGGCGCACCUCGCUCAGCCUGCCUGACCUCGGGACGCCCGGAGCAGGCCUGCCUGGCUGCACCUGGCUGCGGAGCACCAGGAGAUGUGCACACAGCUAACGGAGGCCGAGGACCAGCAGCCCUUCUGGCCUGGCAUCUGCACAGGGCUUUGCUAUCUGACCUCUCAAAGAGAGCUGCUUCCCACCUCCGUGCUGCGUCCUGCCCUGCAAAGGAAAGGCGCUGAGUUCACGACAAGGUCACGGUCCAAACUUUGCUCUUUAGGAACGUGAUGCUCUGCAAUCAGCAGACUGAGUGGCAGUCCCCUUACAUCCACUAACUUUCUGGAACUUGUCCUUUUACUGCAGAUUCCUUCCUGGCUUAUAUUUAGAAGCACCACUGAUGAUAAUUUGUAGAAAUGAAAGCGAAAAAGCCUCAGACAUCCAGGGGACAGCAUUAAAUGUUUGCUUUGUGCUUAUCUUCCAA